UACGGGGGGGGCAAGCGUUGUUCGGAAUUACUGGGCGUAAAGGGCUCGUAGGCGGCCAACUAAGUCAGACGUGAAAUCCCUCGGCUUAACCGGGGAACUGCGUCUGAUACUGGAUGGCUUGAGUUCGGGAGAGGGAUGCGGAAUUCCAGGUGUAGCGGUGAAAUGCGCAGAUAUCAGGAGGAACACCGGUGGCGAAGGCGGGUCUCUGGGCCUUACCUGACGCUCAGGUGCGAAAGCUAGGGGAGCGAACAGG
rnacentral:rRNA from 1 species